rnacentral:lncRNA from 1 species
CGCCAGGCCGCCGCAGGCCCCCUCGGCCUCGGUGGGUUUGGCGCUGCGCGGGCAGAGGCAACCCCGGACGGCGGGAAAACGACACCGCUGCCCCCCGCCAAGACCUAGUAAUGAGCUUUUCUAACGUUCAUACGGUUUCAACGGCCCUUUAAGGAGAGAGGAGUUCCCGCCUGCACUGAAAGAAUAGCUCAACAUCUGUCAUCCCAUUCUCUACCAUGGCCCAAAAUCAGGAAGACUACAGCUGUCCUGUUCCUUUCAGAUACUUCUGGGAUAGAGAGGAAUCUUCUGGAUGCAAAUGUUUCCCACCAGUUCCCUCAGUCUGGAGUACAGAAUUGCUGGCUAUUGAGACCGCAUGUCUGUAUAUAGAUCACUACAAGCCAGCAGAGCGGAGGAGGAUCCCUGCACCUCCCUUCUAUCCUAACCACAAAGAGAGAAAGAAGCUCCCAUUCAGCUUCACGCUACCACCAGUGGCUGGCUGCUCUGGCUACUCAGCCCAGCUUAUCUACAGAUAACACAGAAAGGAAGGAUGGGGUAAAGGGUCAGUGUAAACUGUCACUUGCCUCCCUAUGAUCAGUAGACAAUUUCUUUACAGGAAGGUCUUAGGAAGGAUUUGGAAGAAGAUUGGGCAAAAUAAAUUAGGGAUUUUGAUAACCUCA